GAUGAACGCUGGCGGCGUGCUUAACACAUGCAAGUAGAACGAAGCAUUUAGAACGGAUUACUUCGGUUUGAAGUUCUUUAUGACUGAGUGGCGGACGGGUGAGUAACGCGUGGGUGACCUGCCUUGUGCUGGGGGAUAGCAGCUGGAAACGGCUGGUAAUACCGCAUAAGCGCACAGUGUUGCAUGACAUGGUGUGAAAAAAUCCGGUGGUAUAAGAUGGACCCGCGUCUGAUUAGCAAGUUGGUGGGAUAACAGCCCACCAAGGAGACGAGCAGUAGCCGACAUGAGGGGGUGACCGGCCACAUUGGGACUGAGACACGGCCCAGACUCCUACGGGAGGCAGCAGUGGGGAAUAUUGCACAAUGGAGGAAACUCUGAUGCAGCGACGCCGCGUGAGUGAAGAAGUAAUUCGUUAUGUAAAGCUCUAUCAGCAGGGAAGAUAGUGACGGUACCUGUCUAAGAAGCUCCGGCUAAAUACGUGCCAGCCGCCGCGGUAA
rnacentral:rRNA from 1 species